ACAGAGGGGGCAAGCGUUAUUCGGAAUUAUUGGGCGUAAAGGGUGCGUAGGCGGUUUCUUAAGUGAGAUGUGUAAUCCCCGGGCUUAACCUGGGAACUGCAUCUCAUACUGGGAGGCUAGAGUACUGGAGAGGGUGGUAGAAUUCCACGUGUAGCGGUGAAAUGCGUAGAGAUGUGGAGGAAUACCAGUGGCGAAGGCGGCCACCUGGACAGUAACUGACGCUGAGGCGCGAAAGUGUGGGGAGCAAACAG
rnacentral:rRNA from 1 species